rnacentral:sRNA from 1 species
GUGUGAGGGACCGCGGCGCGCCGCAGGACCGGACCGCUGAGCCUGCAGCCGCCCCGCGCCGUGACCUGCGACCCUAGACCCCGACUCCCUUUGGCUCAGCCCGCGCGCCCCAGGCCCGGCCCGGGCGGCGCGACGGGAGGAUGAGCGGCGGGCGGCGGAAGGAGGAGCCGCCUCAGCCGCAGCUGGCCAACGGGGCCCUCAAAGUCUCCGUCUGGAGUAAGGUGCUGCGGAGCGACGCGGCCUGGGAGGAUAAGGAUGAAUUUUUAGAUGUGAUCUACUGGUUCCGACAGAUCAUUGCUGUGGUCCUGGGUGUCAUUUGGGGAGUUUUGCCAUUACGAGGGUUCUUGGGGAUAGCAGGGUAAGUCUUGGGUAUCUUACAUUUUCAUGGUAUCAUUUCUUUUUAAAUAGAGGCUUUUUUUCCUGUUACAGGAAAGGCCAUUGCUGCUCUGGAGCUGUGUGUGUGUGUGAUGACUAAAGCAAAGAAGCAGCCCUACAGUGGCACUCCUGGGUCUGGUGCACCACUCCUCAGGAGCAUCUCAGGUCAGGCAGGGUACCUUCCUGCCUUCCUGAAGGCUGGGCCAGUCCAUUCAUUCAUGGGUCUAAAGUGACCUCAUGCAAGAGGCUAUAACAUUACUUGUUCGUGGCAUGCACUCUAGUUCUGCUGUGACCUUUGUACCUGUGCGAGUUUGGGAAGUAGGAACUUCUGUAUUUGACGACCAUUUCCCUUGUUCCUGG